GGUCGGACAAAGCAGCGUGAACAAAGUUUAAGAUAACAAACAAAAUGGAAUGAUAGCAUUCGAAUUCAGCUGAAGGUAAAAUCACGAGCUAAGUGAAAUUUUACGAUCAAGCAGGACUUGCUGAGGCACCUCCCAGCCAAAUUAAAUUUGUGCCCAUAUAAAACAUACAGGCACUUGUUGGGGAUAACUCUUUAUACAAUCGACAGAGCUAAAUAGUAUUGGUGAAGAUCUGCUGCCAGUGAAUAAGAAAAGAA